AGAGUUUGAUCCUGGCUCAGGAUGAACGCUAGCGACAGGCUUAACACAUGCAAGUCGAGGGGCAGCACAGGUAGCAAUACCGGGUGGCGACCGGCGCACGGGUGAGUAACGCGUAUGCAACUUACCUAUCAGAGGGGGAUAACCCGGCGAAAGUCGGACUAAUACCGCAUGAAGCAGGGAUCCCGCAUGGGAAUAUUUGCUAAAGAUUCAUCGCUGAUAGAUAGGCAUGCGUUCCAUUAGGCAGUUGGCGGGGUAACGGCCCACCAAACCGACGAUGGAUAGGGGUUCUGAGAGGAAGGUCCCCCACAUUGGUACUGAGACACGGACCAAACUCCUACGGGAGGCAGCAGUGAGGAAUAUUGGUCAAUGGCCGAGAGGCUGAACCAGCCAAGUCGCGUGAAGGAAGAAGGAUCUAUGGUUUGUAAACUUCUUUUAUAGGGGAAUAAAGUGGAGGACGUGUCCUUUUUUGUAUGUACCCUAUGAAUAAGCAUCGGCUAACUCCGUGCCAGCAGCCGCGGUAAUACGGAGGAUGCGAGCGUUAUCCGGAUUUAUUGGGUUUAAAGGGUGCGUAGGUGGUGAUUUAAGUCAGCGGUGAAAGUUUGUGGCUCAACCAUAAAAUUGCCGUUGAAACUGGGUUACUUGAGUGUGUUUGAGGUAGGCGGAAUGCGUGGUGUAGCGGUGAAAUGCAUAGAUAUCACGCAGAACUCCGAUUGCGAAGGCAGCUUACUAAACCAUAACUGACACUGAAGCACGAAAGCGUGGGGAUCAAACAGGAUUAGAUACCCUGGUAGUCCACGCAGUAAACGAUGAUUACUAGGAGUUUGCGAUACAAUGUAAGCUCUACAGCGAAAGCGUUAAGUAAUCCACCUGGGGAGUACGCCGGCAACGGUGAAACUCAAAGGAAUUGACGGGGGCCCGCACAAGCGGAGGAACAUGUG
rnacentral:rRNA from 1 species